UACGGAGGGUGCGAGCGUUGUUCGGAAUUAUUGGGCGUAAAGCGCGUGUAGGUGGUAUGUUAAGUCUGAUGUGAAAGCCCCGGGCUCAACC
rnacentral:rRNA from 1 species